rnacentral:rRNA from 1 species
UACGUAGGUGGCAAGCGUUAUCCGGAAUUAUUGGGCGUAAAGAGCGCGCAGGUGGUUGAUUAAGUCUGAUGUGAAAGCCCACGGCUUAACCGUGGAGGGUCAUUGGAAACUGGUCGACUUGAGUGCAGAAGAGGGAAGUGGAAUUCCAUGUGUAGCGGUGAAAUGCGUAGAGAUAUGGAGGAACACCAGUGGCGAAGGCGGCUUCCUGGUCUGUAACUGACACUGAGGCGCGAAAGCGUGGGGAGCAAACAGGAUUAGAUACCCUU